rnacentral:rRNA from 1 species
AGUGAACGCUGGCGGCGUGCCUAAUACAUGCAAGUCGAACGGAGAUUAAGUAGCUUGCUAUUUAAUCUUAGUGGCGCACGGGUGAGUAAUAUAUAGCUAACUUGCCCAUUACUAAGGGACAACAGUUGGAAACGACUGCUAAUACCUUAUACUCCGUAUAUAUAUAAGUAGAUACGGGAAAGUUUUUCGGUAAUGGAUAGGGGUAUAUCGUAUUAGCUAGUUGGUAAGGUAAUGGCGUACCAAGGCUAUGACGCGUAACUGGUCUGAGAGGAUGAUCAGUCACACUGGAACGGAGACACGGUCCAGACUCCUACGGGAAGCAGCAGUAGGGAAUAUUACUCAAUGGGGGAAACCCUGAAGCAGCAACGCCGCGUGGAGGAUGACACUUUGCGGAGCGUAAACUCCGUUUCUUGGGAAAGAAUUAUGACGGUACCCAAUGAAUAAGCACCGGCUAACUCCGUG